UGCUAUACAGGCUGUUGCCACGCCGGCUGGCUAGGUCGCUCUAGAGCGAUCACCUUCGGGAUGGUGGAAGGCUGAAACUGGCACCAUCUUCUGGUGAGGCGCAUCACAGCUCUCCACAAUCUAAAGCGGAUGGUGUCCAGCCCUGUCCUGAGUCAUACAGAGUGACACAUUGAAUUGAUUCUAUCCCCGCCUCUGUGGAAGGAAUCACUGUCUCACCAAGGCCUACGACUGAACCUGAUGCUUCUGAGGUCUGCGGGCUUGUCUUGAAGGUCACACCUAGGACCCUGUGCAAAUUAGGCAGGGGCUCUACCACUGAUGCACGAGCUGCACCACACCCUCUCUGCCAUGGUGGACUGAAAUGUCUGAAAUGUUGGGGAAUGAGUUCCAGGUCUGGGAGCCCUGGUUAGGAUCCUGCCUCUUUGGGAAAUGGCAGAUCAAUGUGUCCUCAUUCAGAGAGAAGGUGAAAACACUGGGACAAAUUUAUACUUCAGAAACCAUUCUUCUGCAUGUUUAAUGCAAAGCCAGGCUUGAUGGUGCAUGUCUGUAAUCCCAGUGCUGGAGAAACUGAAGUGGGAAGAUUGCAAACUCAAGACCAAUCUGUCCAAAAAAACAGAGAUUGACAAAAUAAUUCAUAUGCUUAAUUCAAGUAUUAACUUCCCUCUUUUGUAUAUGACAUAUAUAGAGUUUUUAAUCAACUGGAUAUCAAAUAUCCUUUGUUGUCUGUUGAUAAAUGUUGUUCAUAUUUAUAAAGAAAUGUGAUGAGAGUG
rnacentral:lncRNA from 1 species